rnacentral:rRNA from 1 species
AUGGUAGAGCAUUUUCGGGGAGAAGAAGUAAUCUACCAUAGCUUUGACAGUGCAGAAGACGACCCAUAUGGCUACUACGCUCCCGAGUUCCUAAAUGGAUUGACUCCCAACCACCUGCCUCCGCAUGCACUCAAGCUGAAGCUCAACUGCCCUAUCAUACUUCUAAGGAACAUUGAUCUCGCAAAUGGUCUGUGUAACGGGACGAGGCUUGUGGUGCGAGGUUUCAAGAAGAACGCCAUCGACGCAGAAAUCGUGAUCGGACAACACGCAGGUAGGAGGGUAUUCCUUCCUCGAAUACCCCUAUGCCCAUCUGACAACGACAUCUUUCCAUUCAAGUUCAAGAGGAAGCAAUUUCCUGUAAGGCUUAGCUUUGCUAUGACGAUUAACAAGGCUCAAGGGCAGACCAUCCCGAUUGUUGGCGUGUACCUACCUAAUCCGGUGUUCUCUCAUGGUCAACUCUAUGUCGCGUUGUCUCGAGCCACCGCAAAGAGAAACAUAAAGAUCCUCAUUGAGAAGGAGAUGGAGAAGGAGAAUGUCAACAAGCAAAACAAUAAAUCAAAGAAGCGAAAAAGACCUAUUGUGUCCUUACAGACCUCGAUGAAGAACAUCGUCUAUAAGGAAGUCCUUACAGGCUGA